GCUUUAAACUAUGCAAACUCAGUGAUGCAUUGGCUUGUGGCCAGUGCAGUGCCGCAGGGAACCCGUUAAGUUUGCCGCCUGGGAAGUACGUACGCAAGUAUGAAACUUAAAGGAAUUGGCGGGGGAGCACCACAAGGGGUGAAGCCUGCGGUUCAAUUGGAGUCAACGCCAGAAAUCUUACCUGGGGAGACAGCAGAAUGAAGGUCAAGCCGAAGACUUUACCAGACAAGCUGAGAGGUGGUGCAUGGCCGUCGUCAGCUCGUGCCGUGAGAUGUCCUGUUAAGUCAGGUAACGAGCGAGAUCCCUGCCCCUAGUUGCUACCAUUACUUCCGGAGUAGUGGGGCGAAUUAGCGGGACCGCCGCAGUUAAUGCGGAGGAAGGAAGGGGCCACGGCAGGUCAGUAUGCCCCGGAACCCUAGGGCCACACGCGGGCUGCAAUGGUAGCUACAAUGCGUUCCGAAUCCGAAAGGAGGAGGUAAUCCUCAAAUGCUACCUCAGUUAUGACUGAGGGCUGUAACUCGCCCUCACGAAUAUGGAAUCCCUAGUAACUGCGUGUCAUUACCGCGCGGUGAAUACGUCCCUGCUCCUUGCACACACCGCCCGUCGUUUCAUUGAAGUUUGCUUUUAGCGAGGUGACGUCAUUUUGGCGUUAUCGAACUUGA
rnacentral:rRNA from 1 species